rnacentral:rRNA from 1 species
AACGAACGCUGGCGGCAUGCCUAACACAUGCAAGUCGAACGAGACCUUCGGGUCUAGUGGCGCACGGGUGCGUAACGCGUGGGAACCUGCCCUUAGGUUCGGAAUAACUCCCCGAAAGGGGUGCUAAUACCGGAUAAUGUCUUCGGACCAAAGAUUUAUCGCCUUUGGAUGGGCCCGCGUUGGAUUAGCUAGUUGGUAGGGUAAAAGCCUACCAAGGCGACGAUCCAUAGCUGGUCUGAGAGGAUGAUCAGCCACACUGGGACUGAGACACGGCCCAGACUCCUACGGGAGGCAGCAGUGUGGAAUAUUGGACAAUGGGCGAAAGCCUGAUCCAGCAAUGCCGCGUGAGUGAUGAAGGCCUUAGGGUUGUAAAGCUCUUUUACCCGGGAUGAUAAUGACAGUACCGGGAGAAUAAGCUCCGGCUAACUCCGU